AUUGCUCAUGCCUGUCUGUGCUGUAGGGGGAGAACUCCCGCAAUUUUCUCCAUUCGUGAUAAAGCCAUCAGUGGAGGAUCAUUUGUGUGGAGUCACGAUUGUUAUUUUGUCCCACUAUUCAGCUUGAUGACGACGAGGGUCUGGGGGCUACGUUCCUGGAGCCUCAGGAUGGCCUUCCGCAUGUUGAUCAGCCUCUGGAUGAAGAUCUCCAGGGGAAAGGGCCUGAAAUGCUGUCCCACUCCAAUGACCACCACAUCACCAAAGACUACUCUUUCUACCUCUCUGGAAAUGUACCUGUAAGCCAGAAAUAAUAAAAAUGUGGUGUAA